rnacentral:rRNA from 1 species
GACGAACGCUGGCGGCGUGCUUAACACAUGCAAGUCGAACGGAAAGGCCCUGCUUUUGUGGUGUGCUCGAGUGGCGAACGGGUGAGGAACACGUGAGUAACCGGCCCUUGACUUUGGGAUAACUUCAGGAAACUGGGGCUAAUACCGUAUAGGAGCUCCUGCUGCAUGGUGGGGGUUGGAAAGUUUCGGCGGUUGGGGAUGGACUCGCGGCUUAUCAGCUUGUUGGUGGGGUAGUGGCUUACCAAGGCUUUGACGGGUAGCCGGCCUGAGAGGGUGACCGGCCACAUUGGGACUGAGAUACGGCCCAGACUCCUACGGGAGGCAGCAGUGGGGAAUAUUGCACAAUGGGCGGAAGCCUGAUGCAGCAACGCCGCGUGCGGGAUGACGGCCUUCGGGUUGUAAACCGCUUUCGCCUGUGACGAAGCGUGAGUGACGGUAAUGGGUAAAGAAGCACCGGCUAACUACGUG